CCUACGGGUGCAGCAGUGGGGAAUAUUGGACAAUGGGCGAAAGCCUGAUCCAGCCAUGCCGCGUGUGUGAAGAAGGCCUUCGGGUUGUAAAGCACUUUCAGUGGAGAAGAAAGCCUUGGGGCUAAUACCCUCGAGGAAGGACAUCACCCACAGAAGAAGCACCGGCUAACUCCGUGCCAGCAGCCGCGGUAAUACGGAGGGUGCGAGCGUUAAUCGGAAUUACUGGGCGUAAAGCGCGCGUAGGCGGUCUGAUAAGCCGGUUGUGAAAGCCCCGGGCUCAACCUGGGAACGGCAUCCGGAACUGUCAGGCUAGAGUGCAGGAGAGGAAGGUAGAAUUCCCGGUGUAGCGGUGAAAUGCGUAGAGAUCGGGAGGAAUACCAGUGGCGAAGGCGGCCUUCUGGACUGACACUGACGCUGAGGUGCGAAAGCGUGGGUAGCAAACAGGAUUAGAUACCCCUGUAGUC
rnacentral:rRNA from 1 species